GUUAAACUAUAUUUAAGAAAUUUACCAGUAACUUGGUUUCUCAGUAAUAGGUUCUGAAUCAGACUGAGAACAAUGCACUUGAAUUAGUUAUUAGAAAAACAGUAUAAAAAUUGGAUGGCUUUCUAAUAUAGUAAAAUAUCAAAUGAGCAGUGAGAGUUUAAAGCUUGCCUAAGAAAAUACCUAAAGAAACAAAAUAGCCAUUUGGUUAAAAACAACAAGUAGACUUCAUACUUUAAAACGGUAUUUAAUUGUUUGAUACUAACUCCUAUUCGAAAAUGUUUUAUCCCAAACGAGAAUUUUAAAAAGGGUCUCAGCCAUACUCAAAAGUUAAUUUCUGUCACUAGAAAGAAGGCAGUUUGAAACGUGUUUUCCCUCCAUAAAAUAUUGUUAGGUUCCUUUCAUGAUCGGUCACUUUGUAUUUCACCAAGAACCAAAGACUAAAUUGUUCUUCCCAUUUAAUCAAUAGCUUUUAUUGCUGGCAUCAACGACCCCACUUAUGACUUUAAGCUGCCUAAUUUUUCUGCUACCCUGUUCCAUUAAAAAAUAAAAAUCGUGAUUCUCG
rnacentral:lncRNA from 1 species